rnacentral:lncRNA from 1 species
UCCUAUGUUGAAGCUGUAAUCCCCAGUGCAAUGGUGUUUGGAGAUGGGAUUUUGGGACUAAUCAGGUAGGGAUGAGGUCACGAGGGUGGGGCCCUCAUGAUGGGAUUAGUGCCCUUCAAAGAUGAGACCAGAGAACUUGCUCUGUCUCUGCCAUGUGAGGGCAUAGCAAGAAGAUGGCCACGUGCUUACCAGGAAGACAGCCCUCACCAGGAACCCAGUCGCACUUUCAGCUUCUGCAACUGUGAGAAAUAAAUGUCUGCUGCUCAAGCCCCCAAGUCUGUGGUGUUUCAUUAGAGCAACAUGAGCUAACACAGAACAGGCCUCUGCAGGGGGAGUUGUACUGUCCCUUCAGGUCCAGCCCAAAUGCGACCUUCUCUGAGAAACCUCCUCAUAUUUCUCCCUGGCAGAAUCCCUCUCUCCUUCCUACAAUCCUCUGUCUGCACUUCAGCUCUAACACUUACAUGCAACACAGUUCUUCCUUAAAAUGCUGACAGUUAUGUAUUCAUCUGCUACCACUUAAUUUUCCCGAACUCUGCCUAGCUCCUUCCAUUCCACCUCCUGAGCCAAUCCUAACUGAGGCAGGAAGGCUCUUGGAGUGGUCCCAUCAGUGCAUUUGACUGUUAGUCUCAGACCUGUCCAUUGAGCUGGACAAGUCUGAGGCCAGCUUGUUUCCUUGGCUAAGUCCCCUCUUGCCUCCAGAAAAGCCCAGCACUUGCUGAUGACUGCCAGGCUUUGACUGGAAUGUCCAGCUAUUUCCAACCAGAUUGUGACCCCAAAUGACAGAGAUAAUUGCUCAGUUAUGCCAUCUAGCAUGAUGUUUUGUACCUCACUGAUGCCUAAUAAAUGACCGUUGACUUAAUUUUUUAAUUUUUUAUUUUUGAGAUGGACUCUCACUCUGUUGCCCAGGCUGGAGUGCAGUGGUGUGAUCUCAGCUCACUGCAACCUCUGCCUCCUGGGUUCAAAUGAUUCUCCUGUCUCAGCCUCCCAAGUAGCUGGGAUUAUAGGCGCCCGCCACCACACCCAACUAC